UUUCCUAUUUUUCCACAGCUUUCUUGAACUGCAUCUAACAGAUACUUUUACUCCCAUUACACAUUUGCAGUUCAAUAAUGCUGUGGGAAAAUAUGGCGA
rnacentral:miRNA from 1 species